rnacentral:rRNA from 1 species
AACGAACGCUGGCGGCGUGCUUAACACAUGCAAGUCGAGCGCACGGACGGACUUCGGUCCGCGAGUGAGCGGCGAACGGGUGAGUAACACGUGAAUAACGUACCCUCGGGUGUGGGAUAACCAUUCGAAAGGAUGGCUAAUACCGCAUAAGACCACAACGCCUCAUGGUGAAGGGGUCAAAGCUUUAUGCGCCCAAGGAUCGGUUCGCGGUCCAUUAGGUAGUUGGCGGGGUAAUGGCCCACAAGCCGAAGAUGGAUAGCUGGUCUGAGAGGAUGAUCAGCC